UUCACCUUUUUUCCUACCAUUAUAAUAUUAUCAUAUUUCACGAUAAUGGUGGUUGACGAUUGAUUUAAAAUUUGGAAAAUACACUAGAAACAGUAUUAUUAUGAUCUUAAAAAAUGUUUAUUUUGAUUGACUGAGGUUAAUUAAUAUAAGUAGGGCCAAUCACAUCGGUCUUCAUUCCAUAGUAAACCAUUAGGACAGGAUUGUUCGGAAAGUUGACCGAAAUUGCAUAAUAAGUACUUGGAGCAAUCUUUUUCGUGAGCUAUGAAUAAUCGGCCAUUGCAAUCUUCAAGGGGUAGAGUAGUGGUCGUGCUGGGUUUACUGGCUGCUACUAUUUCAACUGCAUCAUCCAAGUCUGGUGUUACGUCUGAAGUAG